ACGAAGCAACACAAGAAGUUUCUCUGCAACAAGAAAUCAAAACAUUAAGAGACUAUUGAAUCAUGUAGAAGAAGAUAACAUCUUCAACAACCAUUGGGGAUCAAAAUCUUAUUUUUUUACAGAAUUCAUCGCCGGUGAAUCAGUAAUGAGAAAGAGAGUGAGAGAGAUUACUGUCUAGGUAAGCAGCAAGAGAA